rnacentral:rRNA from 1 species
AUGUCCUACGGGGGGCAGCAGUAGGGAAUCUUCGGCAAUGGGCGAAAGCCUGACCGAGCAACGCCGCGUGAAUGAAGAAGGCCUUCGGGUUGUAAACCUCUUUUGUCGGAGAACAAAACCCGGGACGAGUCCCGGACUGCGUGUAUCCGAAGAAAAAGCAUCGGCUAACUCCGUGCCAGCAGCCGCGGUAAUACGGAGGAUGCGGGCGUUAUCCGGAUUUAUUGGGUUUAAAGGGUGCGUAGGCGGUCCGUUAAGUCAGCGGUAAAAU